rnacentral:rRNA from 1 species
CCUACGGGAGGCAGCAGUGGGGAAUAUUGCACAAUGGGGGAAACCCUGAUGCAGCGACGCCGCGUGAGUGAAGAAGUAUUUCGGUAUGUAAAGCUCUAUCAGCAGGGAAGAUAAUGACGGUACCUGACUAAGAAGCCCCGGCUAACUACGUGCCAGCAGCCGCGGUAAUACGUAGGGGGCAAGCGUUAUCCGGAUUUACUGGGUGUAAAGGGUGCGUAGGUGGCAGGGCAAGUCAGAUGUGAAAGCCCGGGGCUCAACCCCGGUACUGCAUUUGAAACUGUCCAGCUGGAGUGCGCGAGAGGUAUGCGGAAUGCGUGGUGUAGCGGUGAAAUGCAUAGAUAUCACGAAGAACUCCGAUUGAGAAGGCAGCAUACCGGCGCGCAACUGACGCUCAUGCACGAAAGCGUGGGGAUCGAACAGGAUUAGAUACCCCUGUAGUC